ensembl:lncRNA
UUAAAAACUGCAUUUUGUAUUUCGUCUGUUUAUCUUUGUCUAGUAUAAAAGUUUGUUUGACAAACACUCACUGAAACAUGUGUGUUUGUUGUUCUGUAUGAGACAAAAAAAAGCAGCCAAACAAGCAGCUGUGUCACUGUUUACAGUAUAUAUUACCAUCAAUAUUACAGAUGCAUUGUGAACAUCUGCGACAAGAGGCAUUCACAGUGUCUCUGCGUUGGGUCUGCUUCUAUCCUUUCCUAGUCACAACUUACUAAGUGAAAGAUCAUAAAAUCUUUAUUAUUUUGCUCGCUCGCAGCAGUGUGCUGCUGUUUCUCAGUCUGUUGCUUUUAUCUGUCACUACAGCGCUUUGCGGAGAUGUAACAAACUUCUACACCUUCGUUAUCUUUAAACUUAUGUGAAGGUGUAUUAGAUAAGCAAGUCCCCUCAUUAAAUAAGAAUGAAGAAAAAAAAAAAACCUACAACGCUACAAUUCCAUUUAACUCUGACCCUUUACUUCUUUAUUACGAAUCACAGCAAACCGCGGGAGAGAGUGCUGCGCCGGCCUGAAAACCUUUCAACUAAUUCCGCCUAUUCAAGUCGCUUCUUCUUACCUCCUUUGAAAGUGCCGGUGUGGUGGGUGUCGCUACGUACUUUGUCACCCAAGGCUAGUAGCAGACAAUAACUGGCUGUUUGUAAAUCCACUGGAGAAAAGCAUGACUAACUCACUCACUUGACAGGAGCUGAAUAAAGCACUACACGGAGGAGCAGAUGAAUGCUAUAACCGGCCCAAGCAUCGAGGCAGGCACAGGCUGCAACAUCAGCCAGCUGUGGGGUUUUUGAACACGAACCUCUUACAUCAUGUACCACAUGACGAGUUCCUCGCCAUCGUGAACUUUUACUUCAUUCCAAAGAGGUGAGCCAAAAAAUGGAUGAGAGGGACAAGCAAACAUACUUCACUACUAUGACAACAGGUGCUGGAAAUGCAGAAAACACAGAGGUUAGCAAAAUGCAUGCAGUCGUCAGCCUCUCAGACCUGACGUUCAGCCUCCACUUGCAGAUGUGACAACUGCCACCUGGGAGCAG